rnacentral:rRNA from 1 species
UACGUAGGGUGCGAGCGUUAAUCGGAAUUACUGGGCGUAAAGCGUGCGCAGGCGGUUCGUUAUGUCCGAUGUGAAAGCCCCGAGCUCAACUUGGGAAUGGCAUUGGAAACUGGCGGGCUGGAGUGUGGCAGAGGGGGGGUGGAAUUCCACGUGUAGCAGUGAACUGCGUAGAGAUGUGGAGGAACACCGAUGGCGAAGGCAGCCCCCUGGGCCAACACUGACGCUCAGGCACGAAAGCGUGGGGAGCAAACAGG